rnacentral:rRNA from 1 species
AGACGUCUACAUUAGACUACCCCCGUAGUCCCAGCCGUAAACUAUGCUCGCUAGGUGUCAGGCAUGGCGCGACCGUGUCUGGUGCCGCAGGGAAGCCGUGAAGCGAGCCACCUGGGAAGUACGGCCGCAAGGCUGAAACUUAAAGGAAUUGGCGGGGGAGCACAACAACGGGUGGAGCCUGCGGUUUAAUUGGACUCAACGCCGGACAACUCACCGGGGACGACAGCAAUAUGUAGGCCAGGCUGAAGGCCUUGCCUGAAUCGCUG